rnacentral:lncRNA from 1 species
UUUUUUUCUUUUUUUUUCUGUAUCAACCCAAAUAUUUAUUCAUAAUAAAUUUUACUACUUUCACAAGUGAAAGAAGGGGGUACGACCCCUACACCACGAAGGCAAAACACAAAAGCGCAACUAAAAAGGAAAUGCUAGACAUUUUAAUUCAUUUGCAGCCUCUCAAAUUUAGAUUAUUAGUUUUGAUACUAAAAAGAUGCUUUAUGGCUUAACAUUAGUUGCAUUAUAGAAAUUAAAAUAUUCCUGCAGACUUUGAUGGCAUGUAUAAAUAUUUUUUCAAAUAAAGUGGUAAAGCCAAAGUAACAUAUGCUCUUUUAUAAUUUACUUUAGAACAUAGGAUACAACUCAGUCUCUACAGAGGAGGAUAAAACAAAGUCUUCUAAAGAAAGCUGUUUUGACAAAAAAGAUCACUAAUGGAAAAUUAUUUUAUCUCUACAGAAUCAGGAAUAUAUGUUCUUCCCACAACAGUAUCUACUACUGAAAACUAAUGAAAAAUCUCUUGCAAAUCAAAAGAUAUAUUCUGAUAUAUUUUUAUAUCCAUCCUCCAAAUUUUAAUUUGUUAGGUAGGUACACUCUGGAGAGAUAAUCUGAUGAUAGGAAGGUCAAAGCUUGAAUUUCUGCCUUCAUUUUAGAGUCUGCCAUUAUUUCCAUUUCUUUUCUCCAAAAUGGUUGUCAAGUAACAUAAGGUCUUUUUAGGACACUGUCAAGUUUCAUUUGGUCCCAUUUUGUCAGUGGAAUUAAAGUAUCUCUAGGUAUAUUUAACCGUUUAAUAUCAGAAGGGAGGAGACCAAGCCAUCUGAUAGCUGAAACUGUGAGAUUAUGAGCUUCAAAAGACAUUGCCAUAGAUCCAUACUUAUAGAUGCACAUGAUUUCUAUGCAUAGUUGUCGUCUUAGCUCCAACCCAUAUUUUGAAUCUUACAAAAUUUUGCAGAAAUCUCAUCUGCCAGUUAUCUGCUUUACCCAGGAUGGAGAGGCUAGAAUUGUAUUUAGAGGAUAAAUAAUAAAUAAAUACAAUUCUAAAACAAGAAAACCAUACAAAUAUAUAAAACAAAAGUUUUCAGACAAUGGAUAACAGGCAGUGCAGGACUAUGAUCCCUGAAGAAACGGAAAAAACAAACUGAACCUUACAGUUGAACUAAUUUGCCAGUUUCAAGGCUAUAGCACAGGGAAGGGCAACCUAGACAGAGUCUAGAUCUUUGGCUGAGUUGAAGAGCUAGAUACAAGAGUUCAGAGAGGCCAAAGUCCCUAGAAUUUGCAGGACAAAGUAGUACAGAAGACAGAACUCUGAGAGAUAGGUUGGGACCUGGAAGAGUCUUUGGCUUUGUUUUUGGCUGUGCAUGCAGUAAAAGAAUAUAACUGGGUCCAAGGAAAUGACCUAUGGAGCAGAUUCUAGGAAAAACAAAGUAAUUCCUAGACCUUACACAGGACUGGGAAUAAAGUAUUUAUGAUUCCAUAAGCCAAAGUGGAAAGAUCUUAUAUUACACAGGGCAAUCAAAUAGAAUUCUCAGAAAAUUAUUGCCUUAAUUAUGGGAUUAAAAUCAUCCAAGACUAAAGGCUGUUCUUCAUCUACCUUGGUAAUCUUAAAAUAUUAAAUGGAUCCAGUUUCAAGUACUUACCUAUCCACUGUUUAAAGAAAUUCGACAGAAUCCAGCAACCAAGAAUGUAAAAUUCACAGUAUCUGUCAUAUGAUUAAAAAUCAUGAAACAUGCAAAGAAACAAGAGGACAUGAUCCACAGUAAGGAGAAAAAUAGAAAACUCAAUCAACAGAAACAAAUCUAGAAAUAAUAGAUAUGAUGAAGCUAGCAGACAAACUAUUUAAAACAGACCUUAUAGAUAUAAAAUAUAUAUUCACAAAAGUAAAGGAAAACAUGGACAUGAUAAAGAGAGAAAGGAAAAAAUAUAUAAAAGGUCCAAAUAGAACUUCUCAAAAUGAAAAUAUACCUGAAAUUUAAAAACACACUGUAUAGGAUUUAAAGCAGACCAGAUACUACAGAAGAUAACAUCAGUGAAUUUGAAGAAAUAGCAAUAGAAACUAUAACAGAAGCACAAAGAGAAAACAAAAUGAAUAGAGCAUCAGUUACCUAUGGGAUAAUAUGAAAUGGUCUACAUAUGUAUAAGUGGAAUCUAGAAACAGGCAGGCACCAAAGAAGUUUUAAAGAAAAAAUGGCCAAAAUAUUUUCCAAAUUUGAUGAAAAACUAAACAGAUCCAAGAAGCUCAAAGAAUUACAAGCAGAACAUAUAUAAAGAAAAACAUUACAAGGCACAUCAUCAUCAAAUUGUUGAACAUCAAUGAUAGAACAUUUUUUAAAAAGAUUUUAUUUAUUUAUUCAUGAGAGACAUAGAGAGAGGCAGAGACACAGGCAGGGGGAGAAGCAGGCUCCAUGCAGGGAGCCUGACGCGGGACUCAAUCCCAGGUCUCCAGAAUCACACCCUGGGCUGAAGGCAGCACUAAACCGCUGAGCCACCCAGGCUGCCCGAGAGAACAUCUUAAAAGCAGACAGAGGAGUGCCUGGGUGGCACAAUUUUUAAGUGCCAGAGCCUUGGCUUCAGCUCAGGACAUGAUCUUGGGGUUGUGGGAUUGAGCUCGGAGUGAGAUGGAGCCCAGAGUGGGGCUCCAUGCUCAGUGAGGAGUCUGCUUAAGUUUCUCUCUCCCUCUCCCCACCACCUCUCUCUCUAAAAAAAAAAAAAAAAAAAAAAA